rnacentral:rRNA from 1 species
GACGUAGGGCGCGAGCGUUGUCCGGAUUUAUUGGGCGUAAAGAGCUCGUAGGCGGCUUGUCGCGUCGUCCGUGAAAACUUGGGGCUCAACCCCAAGCUUGCGGUCGAUACGGGCAGGCUCGAGUUCGGUAGGGGAGACUGGAAUUCCUGGUGUAGCGGUGAAAUGCGCAGAUAUCAGGAGGAACACCAAUGGCGAAGGCGGGUCUCUGGGCCGAUACUGACGCUGAGGAGCGAAAGCGUGGGGAGCGAACAGG